GCGGGUAUAGCUCAGCUGGGAGAGCGUCAGACUGAAGAUCUGAAGGUCAGGUGUUCGAUCCACUUUAGCCGCA